rnacentral:misc_RNA from 1 species
GAUGAAGAACGUAGCGAAAUGCGAUAAGUAAUGUGAAUUGCAGAAUUCAGUGAAUCAUCGAAUCUUUGAACGCACAUUGCGCCCCCUGGUAUUCCGGGGGGCAUGCCUGUCCGAGCGUCAUUACAACCCUCAAGCUCAGCUUGGUGUUGGGCCCCGCCGCCCCGGCGGGCCCUAAAGUCAGUGGCGGUGCCGUCCGGCUCCGAGCGUAGUAAUUCUUCUCGCUCUGGAGGCCCGGUCGUGUGCUCGCCAGCAACCCCCAAUUUUUUUCAGGUUGACCUCGGAUCAGGUAGGGAUACCCGCUGAACUUAAGCAUAUCAAUAACGGAGGA